GACUCCGUGGCGCAAUGGUAGAGCGUCUGACUCCAGAUCAGAAGGUUGGGUGUUCAAAUCACGUCGGGAUCA
rfam:Nematostella vectensis strain CH2 x CH6 NEMVEscaffold_1791_Cont38707, whole genome shotgun sequence.